GAGCCUCUAACGGCCGCUCAGCCGUAGCUCCUGAAUGCCCGUGGCUGCUCCCGAGCUGUGCGUGUACCCCCGGGGAUGCUGUGGGGCGGGCUGGGUUUUGCCUGCGUGGCCUCUUCCCAAGAGUGCCAAGGGAGACGAGAGCUGGCAGCACACUUCCUUUUCCGUCCUCAAUGCCGAUGUCAUUUUCUCAAGUGGACCUUGUUCCCACAGCUCUCUGAUGACACCAAACAGCACAGCGAGGCUGAGAGCAUGGAGAUGACCCACUGCAUCCUGCUGCAGGCCCGCAUCUGCCCAGAGGAAACGGUCCCGUUUCUGCAGUCGCAGCUGGGCGAUGAGAGGGAGUCCAGACGCGUGGCAGCCCUGGGUCUGCUCGGAGCUCUGGCUCGCUCAGAUGAGCCCGUGAUGGCAGAGAAGCUGCCCCAGGUUGUGGAGGCUGUGCAGUGCCUGUGCGGGGACCCCAGGACCCAGGUGAGCUGGUUUGGGAAGGGAAAGCGCUGUCGGGGUGGUGAUGCUGCUGCCAAAAGGGGCAGGGCUGGGGUGCCCGGGGAAGUGCUGGCACAUUGCCCACACGGUCGCCAUGGCUUCUGCUGGGGGGAGCAGGCAGAGUGGAGUGGGCAGGUCCCCGUGCUGUGCAUGGAAAGCGCCCAGCCUGGGGCUAAGGCCUGACCCAUACCUCUGAAGCCCAGGCUUCUCCUCUGCUCUGGUUGUCUCCGCGCACAACCAAAGGGCCCAAAAAAUCAAAACCACCACUGACCCCUGGCAGGUGAGGAGGGCCGUACUGCA
rnacentral:lncRNA from 1 species